UUCUUUUUAUUAUGUAAUGGAAGGUACCCCCUGCCCUAUGGUUUUAAAUGGCCGCGGUGUCAGAAGCUGUGCGAAGGUAGCAUAAUAAUUUUCUUUUUAAAUGGAAGAUAGAAUGAAAGGGGUGACUAGAUAUCUGCUGUGUGAAGUGGGGUUUUAGAAUUUUAUGAGAGGGUUAAAAAUCCUUCUAAUUUUAAAGGGACGAUAAGACCCUGGGAGCUUUAAAAUGGGUGAUUUUUUAACUGGGGCGGUUUGUAAUAAAAACAUUAAAUUUAGAACAAUUUGAAUGGAGUUAAUGAUCUUUUUUUGAGCAUGAAGUUGAAAGCUACCCCAGGGAUAACAGCGUAAUUGAAUUGGGGAGGCGAUCUAAGAUUCAGUUUGCGACCUCGAUGUUGAAUUAAGGUUUUCCUCAUGAGGGAGAUAGCUUGGGGGAGAGUUUGUUCAACUCUUAAAAACUU
rnacentral:rRNA from 1 species